CUACGGGGGGCAGCAGUGGGGAAUUUUGGACAAUGGGGGCAACCCUGAUCCAGCCAUUCCGCGUGAGUGAAGAAGGCCUUCGGGUUGUAAAGCUCUUUUGUCCGGAGCGAAACGGGCGGCCCUAAUACGGUCGUCUACUGACGGUACCGGAAGAAUAAGCACCGGCUAACUACGUGCCAGCAGCCGCGGUAAUACGUAGGGUGCGAGCGUGAAUCGGAAUUAAUCGGCGGCAAGCGUGUGCGGGCGGUGUGAAAUCCCCGGGCUCAACCUGGGAAUGGCAUUUGGGACUGCAAGGCUGGAGUGUGGCAGAGGGGACUGGAAUUCCUGGUGUAGCAGUGAAAUGCGUAGAGAUCAGGAGGAAUACCGAUGGCGAAGGCAGGUCCCUGGGUUAACACUGACGCUCAUGCACGAAAGCGUGGGGAGCAAACAGGAUUAGAUACCCCGGUAGUC
rnacentral:rRNA from 1 species